rnacentral:lncRNA from 1 species
CAAAAGUCCAAUCUAUAUUGGCAACUACCAAAAAAUAAAAGUCCACUUCGCUAGCAUGCUCAUAAAAUCAAAGUCCAAUCCCUAUUGGCAUAUCCAACACCAAAGUUCAAUCCAUAUUGGCAACCACUAAAAGUCGACUUUGCUGGCAUAUUCAUAAAAUCAAAUCCAAUCAACAUUGGUACCCAAAAAUACUCUCACCCUUGAAAAAGGGUGACCAAUCC